GGACCGGGACGGACGAACCUCUGGUGUGCCAGUUGUCCCGCCAGGGGCACUGCUGGUUAGCUACGUUCGGAAGGGAUAACCGCUGAAAGCAUCUAAGCGGGAAGCCUGUUCCAAGAUGAGGUUUCUCACCCCCUUCGCGGGGUUAAGGCCCCCCACAGACCAUGGGGUUGAUAGGCCAGAACUGUACGCACAGCAAUGUGUUCAGGUGACUGGUACUAAUCGGCCGAGGACUUACCAACAACAC
rnacentral:rRNA from 1 species